CUCAGCCUCCCGAGUAGCUGGGACUACAGGCAGGCACUACCACACCCAGCUAGUUUUUGUAUUUAUAGUACUCAGGAGGCUGAGGCAGGAGAAUCGCUUGAACCCGGGGGGCAGAGGUUGCAAUGAGCGGGAUAUGGAGAAACUGGAAGCCUUGUACAUUGCUGCUAGGAAUGUAAAAUGGUACAGCCUCUAUGGAAAACAGUUUGGCAGUUCCUCAAAAAGUUGAACAUAGAAUUACAA
rnacentral:lncRNA from 1 species